AUGGACAGGCACACCUGCAAGCUCUGCUUCCGGCGGUUCCAGAAUGGCCGUGCCCUGGGCGGCCACAUGCGCUCCCAUGUCAUGGCGGCUGCCGCAGCUGCUGCGUACUCGACGCCGCCACCGCAGCAGCAGUCGCCGCCACUGUCCUUGGCGUCCACCUCGUCGACGGACACGGAUGGUAAGCCAGCUCAACCGAAACGGCUGUCCUGGGUCCUGCGUGAGGAUCCCGAGAGAAGCUGCAAGGUAGGCGCGGCUGAAUUCUCAGGUGGAUGCUUCGGCGGGGUCACCGCGGCGGCCGGCGAGUCGUCGGUCGUGCAGGACGGCGAGAGCGACACGGAGUCCCCGCGCGGUGGCGCGGGGUUCGCCGUGAGCCGACGGCGCUCCAAGCGGGCACGGCGGCGCGCGCCGCCGCCUGUGCCGGAUCCCGAGCCGGCAAGCACCGUCUCCGAUUCGACCCAGGAGGAGGACGUGGCCAUGUCGCUCGUGAUGCUGUCUCGGGACUCGUGGACGCGGUCCAGAUCCGAGCCGGAGCCCCGCUGGGCCUCGGAGGCCGAGCAAAACAACGACGGCGCCAACGUGUUCGACGAGGACGAGGACGGCCGCGACGUGGCCGGCGAGGCUUACUACGCCGAGGCGACGCCGGUGCUCGUGCACCCACGCGCCAGGCACCAGUGCGGCGCAUGCAAGAAGGUGUUCCGAUCGUACCAGGCCCUCGGCGGCCACCGCGCCAGCGUCAAGAAAGGCAAGGGCGGCUGCGUGCCACCGCCGGCUGGCAAGGCCCACCGCGCCGACGCCCCGAUCGUCCACGAGUGUCCGUUCUGCUUCCGCGUGUUCGGCUCCGGGCAGGCCCUGGGCGGCCACAAGCGCGCGCACAUGCCGUUCGGCGGCGCGCUCGCCCCCUCGCCGCCCCCGGCGAAAUGCGGCGACAGCUUCGGGUCCUUCGAUCUCAACGUGCCGGCCGCGUUCGACGACGACUUCGAGCUCUCCGCCGUGUACGACGCCGAGUUCGGCAGCACCAGACAGUGA
rnacentral:rRNA from 1 species